rnacentral:lncRNA from 1 species
CCAAUCCUUUUAUUAAUGUUCUAGCUUAAUCUCAAUCAAACUAUCAAUUUCAAAUUUUCUUCUUUGAAAAUCUCAAAUUCUACCACUGAUUCGAAGUCUUUGCCUUGAACAUUGUAUCACAAGCUCUCAAAAAAUAGCUGAUGAAGUCAUCGAUUCAGUUGGAACCAAAAUAAAUAAUCUAAAUAGAGAGCAGUAGAUAUUGAAUGGUGGACUUCUUACCUC